rnacentral:rRNA from 1 species
UACGGGGGGGGCAAGCGUUGUUCGGAAUUACUGGGCGUAAAGGGCGCGUAGGCGGCCCGCUAAGUCGAACGUGAAAUCCCCAGGCUCAACCUGGGAACUGCGUCCGAUACUGGCAGGCUUGAAUCCGGGAGAGGGAUGUGGAAUUCCAGGUGUAGCGGUGAAAUGCGUAGAUACCGGGAGGAACACCCGCAGCGAAGGCGGCUGGCUGGGCCAUUCCUGACGCUGAGGCGCGAAGGCUCGGGGAGCGAACGGG